AAAGCUUCAUGGAUAGAAAGAAGGGAUUUACAGAAGUUAAGUCGCAGAAUGGAGAAUUCAUGACUCACAAACUUAAACAUACUGAGAAUACUUUCAGCUUGAAAAUUAUUGUUCUGGAGGACACAGUAUAUUCAGAACUACUUCAGUGUUUAAAAAGCAUGAUAUAUAAUAUACAUAUAUAUUAUAAAAUC
rnacentral:sRNA from 1 species